GACGAACGCUGGCGGCGUGCUUAACACAUGCAAGUCGAACGGAAAGGCCCUGCUUUUGUGGGGUGCUCGAGUGGCGAACGGGUGAGUAACACGUGAGUAACCUGCCCUUGACUUUGGGAUAACUUCAGGAAACUGGGGCUAAUACCGGAUAGGAGCUCCUGCUGCAUGGUGGGGGUUGGAAAGUUUCGGCGCUUGGGGAUGGACUCGCGGCUUAUCAGCUUGUUGGUGGGGUAGUGGCUUACCAAGGCUUUGACGGGUAGCCGGCCUGAGAGGGUGACCGGCCACAUUGGGACUGAGAUACGGCCCAGACUCCUACGGGAGGCAGCAGUGGGGAAUAUUGCACAAUGGGCGGAAGCCUGAUGCAGCAACGCCGCGUGCGGGAUGACGGCCUUCGGGUUGUAAACCGCUUUCGCCUGUGACGAAGCGUGAGUGACGGUAAUGGGUAAAGAAGCACCGGCUAACUACGU
rnacentral:rRNA from 1 species